rnacentral:lncRNA from 1 species
CAAUGACAUUGUGAAGCAAUGACCUUGACAAAGGUCACAAGGUCAAAGGUCAAGGUCAUGUACAUAUGUGAUUUGGGGCACGACUUGAAGAAUUUUAUGUGUGUUUGCCAACCAACCAACCAACCAACCAACCAAUCAAUCAAUCAAUCAAUCAUGAUCAUGAUCAAUCAACCAAUCAUGAUCAUGAUUAAUCAAUCAAUCAAUCAUGUUUCCGUCUCAUGUGUUUAAUAUAGGGUUCAAGAUCUCCUUUGUUUCUUUUUCGCUGUUUCAAUUGACC